UACGUAGGGGGCAAGCGUUGUCCGGAUUUAUUGGGCGUAAAGCGCGCGUAGGCGGCUGGCUACGUCCGCUGUGAAAGCCCGGGGCUCAACCCCGGGAGGCGGGUGGAUACUGGUCAGCUCGAGUCCGGAAGAGGAGUGUGGAAUUCCUGGUGUAGCGGUGAAAUGCGCAGAUAUCAGGAGGAACACCGGUGGCGAAGGCGGGUCUCUGGGCCGAUACUGACGCUGAGGAGCGAAAGCGUGGGGAGCGAACAGG
rnacentral:rRNA from 1 species